rnacentral:rRNA from 1 species
AUUGAACGCUGGCGGCAUGCUUUACACAUGCAAGUCGAACGGUAACAGGCCGCAAGGUGCUGACGAGUGGCGAACGGGUGCGUAAUGCAUCGGAACGUGCCCAGUCGUGGGGGAUAACUACUCGCAAGAGUAGCUAAUACCGCAUACGAUCUAUGGAUGAAAGCGGGGGACCGUAAGGCCUCGCGCGAUUGGAGCGGCCGAUGUCAGAUUAGGUAGUUGGUGGGGUAAAGGCUCACCAAGCCAACGAUCUGUAGCUGGUCUGAGAGGACGACCAGCCACACUGGAACUGAGACACGGCCCAGACUCCUACGGGAGGCAGCAGUGGGGAAUUUUGGACAAUGGGCGCAAGCCUGAUCCAGCAAUGCCGCGUGCAGGAAGAAGGCCUUCGGGUUGUAAACUGCUUUUGUACGGAAAGAAACGGCUCUGGUUAAUACCCGGGGCUAAUGACGGUACCGGAAGAAUAAGCACCGGCUAACUACGUG